rnacentral:rRNA from 1 species
UACGAAGGGGGCUAGCGUUACUCGGAAUUACUGGGCGUAAAGGGCGCGUAGGCGGCUUGGUCAGUCAGGCGUGAAAUUCCUGGGCUUAACCUGGGGACUGCGCUUGAUACGGCCGGGCUUGAGGCCGAGAGAGGGUGGUGGAAUUCCCAGUGUAGAGGUGAAAUUCGUAGAUAUUGGGAAGAACACCGGUGGCGAAGGCGACCACCUGGCGCGGUAGUGACGCUGAGGCGCGACAGUGUGGGGAGUAAACAGG